rnacentral:rRNA from 1 species
CUACGUGCCAGCAGCCGCGGUAAUACGUAGGGUGCGAGCGUUGUCCGGAAUUACUGGGCGUAAAGAGCUCGUAGGUGGUUUGUUGCGUCGUCUGUGAAAUUCCGGGGCUUAACUUCGGGGUGGCAGGCGAUACGGGCAUAACUAGAGUGCUGUAGGGGAGACUGGAAUUCCUGGUGUAGCGGUGGAAUGCGCAGAUAUCAGGAGGAACACCGAUGGCGAAGGCAGGUCUCUGGGCAGUAACUGACGCUGAGGAGCGAAAGCAUGGGGAGCGAACAGGAUUAGAUACCCUGGUAGUCCACGCCGUAAACGAUGAGUGCUAGGUGUUAGACCCUUUCCGGGGUUUAGUGCCGCAGCUAACGCAUUAAGCACUCCGCCUGGGGAGUACGACCGCAAGGUUGAAACUCAAAGGAAUUGACGGGGGCCCGCACAAGCGGUGGAGCAUGUGGUUUAAUUCGAAGCAACGCGAAGAACCUUACCAGGUCUUGACAUCCCUCUGACCGCUCUAGAGAUAGAGUUUUC